AUUGAACGCUGGCGGCAGGCCUAACACAUGCAAGUCGAGCGGAUGAAGGGAGCUUGCUCCUGGAUUCAGCGGCGGACGGGUGAGUAAUGCCUAGGAAUCUGCCUGGUAGUGGGGGAUAACGUCCGGAAACGGGCGCUAAUACCGCAUACGUCCUGAGGGAGAAAGUGGGGGAUCUUCGGACCUCACGCUAUCAGAUGAGCCUAGGUCGGAUUAGCUAGUUGGUGGGGUAAAGGCCUACCAAGGCGACGAUCCGUAACUGGUCUGAGAGGAUGAUCAGUCACACUGGAACUGAGACACGGUCCAGACUCCUACGGGAGGCAGCAGUGGGGAAUAUUGGACAAUGGGCGAAAGCCUGAUCCAGCCAUGCCGCGUGUGUGAAGAAGGUCUUCGGAUUGUAAAGCACUUUACGUUGGGAGGAAGGGCAGUAAGUUAAUACCUUGCUGUUUUGACGUUACCAACAGAAUAAGCACCGGCUAACUUCGUG
rnacentral:rRNA from 1 species